GCCAGACUCGAAGGAGUGUAGCGCAGAGGACUCAUAAGCCUUUGGUCGCAGGUUCAAUUCCUGCCUCUGGCA
rnacentral:tRNA from 1 species